AUUGAACGCUGGCGGCAUGCCUUACACAUGCAAGUCGGACGGCAGCACGGGAGCAAUCCUGGUGGCGGGUGGCGAACGGGUGAGUAAAGUAUCGGAACGUGCCCAGUCGUGGGGGAUAACGUAGCGAAAGUUACGCUAAUACCGCAUACGAUCUAUGGAUGAAAGCGGGGGAUCGCAAGACCUCGCGCGAUUGGAGCGGCCGAUAUCAGAUUAGGUAGUUGGUGGGGUAAAGGCUCACCAAGCCGACGAGCUGUAGCUGGUCUGAGAGGACGACCAGCCACACCGGGACUAAGACACGGCCCAGACUCCUACGGGAGGCAGCAGUGGGGAAUAUUGGACAAGGGGCGAAAGCGUGAUCCAGCCAUGCCGCGUGCAGGAUAAAGGCCUUCGGGUUGUAAACUGCUUUUGGACGGAACGAAAAGGUUUGGCCUAAUAAGCUGAGCUCAUGACGGUACCGUAAGAAUAAGCACCGGCUAACUACGUGCCAGCCGCCGCAGUAA
rnacentral:rRNA from 1 species